rnacentral:lncRNA from 1 species
GUUCAGGAUGAUAGAGUUUCAGCAUCUUCUAGGAACAAAUACAACCCAAAAUUCACCUCUAUGGGAAGCUGACAUGUGUGAGAGGGUAACGGUGUCUGAGGCAGGCCAGCCAGAACACAUUUCCUAAGGAGCCUUCUGAAUGGAAGGUGUCUUAGAAGAGAAGGAAGGCAGCUAUCCUGAGAGUCUUCUCUAGAGAUAAGGCCUUCUCAAGGGCAUGAAGACUGUAGCUUUCUAAAAAUCCAGAUAAUGUAGGAGCUCACGACUGAUCAAUAGUUACCACUCCACCGAGCGGCUAAAAAGAUGUUUCACAUAACUAACCGCCCCUCAGGGAAAGGUGAUAAAAACCACAAAGGAUGUCUACCGUUGCUGCUUUCCUUGCUUUUAGUAAAUGCCAGUCAUGUUGCCAGAGUUGGAAGCAAGGUCGUGGAAGCUGUAGCCUUUGUCGAAUGGAGCCCGGGAUGCGCCUCUUCUCUGUCACUCUCCCAGAAUAUGCCAAGUUUAGUCUUGCAGCCCUGCCUGCACAGAGCCCAGAAAGAAGUGAAUCCCCUUCAAAGAGAAAUGUCUGUAACUUACAGAGAGCAAAACAAAAACAGCAACAGUGAAAAAGACCAAAACACAAACGUCUUGGGAUGAUUGGCCUCAACCUCAUCCUGAGCAUCCUGCACAGAUGGCUCAAACUUUCUGCAAUUUGGAAUUUAAUGAGGGGUUUUAAAUUUAAUCAUUGCUUCUA